GACGAACGCUGGCGGCGCGCCUAACACAUGCAAGUCGAACGGAGCUGAGAGAAGCUUGCUUUUCUUAGCUUAGUGGCGAACGGGUGAGUAACGCGUGAGUAACCUGCCCUGGAGUGGGGGACAACAGUUGGAAACGACUGCUAAUACCGCAUAAGCCCACGAUCCGGCAUCGGAUUGAGGGAAAAGGAUUUAUUCGCUUCAGGAUGGACUCGCGUCCAAUUAGCUAGUUGGUGAGGUAACGGCCCACCAAGGCGACGAUUGGUAGCUGGACUGAGAGGUUGAACGGCCACAUUGGGACUGAGACACGGCCCAGACUCCUACGGGAAGCAGCAGUGGGGGAUAUUGCACAAUGGGGGAAACCCUGAUGCAGCGACGCCGCGUGGAGGAAGAAGGUUUUCGGAUUGUAAACUCCUGUCGUUAGGGACGAUAAUGACGGUACCUAACAAGAAAGCACCGGCUAACUACGUG
rnacentral:rRNA from 1 species